GCUGGCAUGGUGGAAUUGGCAGACACGACGGUCUCAAAAACCGUUCUAGUUAAGUGGGUGCGAGUUCGAAUCUCGCUGUCAGCACCA
rnacentral:tRNA from 1 species